CGCCUACGGGGGGCAGUAGUGAGGGAUAUUGGGCAAUGGGGGAAACCCUGACCCAGCGACGCCGCGUGAGUGAAGAAGUAUUUCGGUAUGUAAAGCUCUAUCAGCAGGGAAGAAAAUGACGGUACCUGACUAAGAAGCCCCGGCUAACUACGUGCCAGCAGCCGCGGUAAUACGUAGGGGGCAAGCGUUAUCCGGAUUUACUGGGUGUAAAGGGAGCGUAGACGGCAGCGCAAGUCUGGAGUGAAAUCCCAUGGCUUAACCAUGGAACUGCUUUGGAAACUGUGCAGCUAGAGUGCAGGAGAGGU
rnacentral:rRNA from 1 species